UACAGAGGGGGCAAGCGUUGUUCGGAAUUACUGGGCGUAAAGGGCGCGUAGGUGGCCCGCUAAGUCGAACGUGAAAUCCCCGAGCUCAACUCGGGAACUGCGUCCGAUACUGGCGGGCUUGAAUCCGGGAGAGGGAUGCGGAAUUCCAGGUGUAGCGGUGAAAUGCGCAGAUAUCGGGAGGAACACCGGUGGCGAAGGCGGUUCUCUGGGCCUUACCUGACGCUGAGGAGCGAAAGCGUGGGGAGCGAACAGG
rnacentral:rRNA from 1 species